CAUAAAUGGACAACAACCUUGUUGUUGCAAAAUAUUAUAAUAAAAAUUAAAAAUUAAAUGACACAAAAUAUGAAAUGUUCUGGAAGACCUAUCUUUUAUUCCCAAUUGCAAUUUCAUCCCAAAAAACCAUCGCACCCUAACUUUUCCCUCCACCGUCCUCUACCUUCCUCUCCACCCGCAGUUCUCUGUCGUUGAUUCACGGCCUUCUUGAGUUCUCCACUGGUGUUUUUUCGACCUUCUCCAAUUCUCCAUUUUGAACUUCUAGAUAAAAAUCAGUUAUCUCUAGUUUUUUCUUCAAUGGGAAGAUGAAUGAGCUAAGGUGUUGAAGAGUUCGAUCUCUAGCAACUUUUUACCACACCGGUCAACAACUUGCAAACAUCAGUACUUGUUUGUGAAAUUCAGGUAUCAUCGUGUCGCACGUAACGUCGCGUCAAGUGGACCUGUCAAGUAAGGCGACAGACGACAAGGCUUAGGCGACAUAAGACCAGCGACAAGGCACUAACGACAAGGGAAGAACAACGCUCGAGCAAGUAAGUGAAGAUAGGUCAAGAUCCAAGCCCAGAAGCCCAACACAGGCCACGCCGUCAUAAGAUAGGAAAAAGUCCAAGCUUUGACCGAAGACUGCGGAGUUUGUUGAAGAUGGGAAGGAGACGUGAGCAACGGCCAAGGAGAGAUCCCUAUCUUCCAGGGAUUUUCCCAACCAAUAGGGCCGUUGGCAUUUGGCAUAUAAAAGCAUAAGGAACAGCAUAAUGGAGGAGAUACGUUAACUCAAGCACUCAAACUCUUAAGCUAUCAAGUGUUUUAGCAUUCAUUGUUAUAUUCGAGAUUUUCAGUAUUGAUUCUUAGAAAAAAGCAUAAACAAUCAUAUAGAAUACUUAGUGGAUUGAUAGCCUCAUAGCUAUCCGCGGUUUUUUACCUUAUUCCUGGGUUUUCCGCGUCAACA